AUGAAUGGAGAAGAACCAUCGUGUAAACGUCAGCAUCCAGUCAUAUCUAAGGGACGAGCUAUGGGGGGCAGAUCCAGGACAUGGGAUGCUAACCAUCUGCUUGGGAUGGGUUUCUUUCAAAUCAGUGAAUGGAUUGGAGCCAUUGAAGUAUUUGAAUGGAGCAUAUGUAUGCAUAUGCUGCACUUCAUCUUAGGUAUAGCAGAUUUGGAGCUGGUAGCGUUGCGUAAGCACACAUCAAGUCAAACCGGACUUAAAUUGGUCAUAGCUUGGGAGGUGUGCCUUUAUGGCUUGCUUCCACGUGGAUUAGUAUUACUACUCAUCAAGAAACAAGAACCUAGGGGAGAAUGGAGCCCUCUCAGCGCUCAGGCACUCUCGACCGUCGGAUUGGCUUUUCAGUUUGUUCAAAUAAGAACGAGGUUCAAAAUUGAACUUGUUUUGCUAUAA
rnacentral:rRNA from 1 species